CCAUAUAUCAAAUCCAACAUCCAUGUCUUACAAAUGCUUUAGAAUUGAUUUAUAUUAUUCUUAUUUUUCACAUGAGCAUAUUCAAGUUUGGAAUUUCUUUCUAUCAAUAGAUCAACUAGUGUCUUUACAAUUCAUAUUGGGAGGCACAAUGCUUAGAUAUAGGAUAUAUGGUGCCUCUUGCUAUUCGCAAUAGCUACAAAACUCAAUAACAAAAUAUAAGAUCAAAAAUUGGAAUGAGCUAAAAGGAGAAUAAGCAACAGACCUAAUAAGAUGCUCCAAGUGCAUAUAGAAUGUGAAAACUACACCUGAAUUUUAACCAAAGAUAUAUUGGAACCCAACAUCUUAUUGGAUCUACAAACAUUCCAAACUACCCUCAAAAUACUAGGCUGCCCAACUUUGGGACAACUCAGUAUUUUUCUGAGGCAGCUGCCCACCAUCCAUCCCUAUCGACAGGUAUGAAUGACAAGUACAUCAAAUUAAAAAAAAAAACUCGGAGUGGGAGAUGGGCACCUGUUCUGCGAAAUUGGAUACGGAACAGAAGGGCACAACUUCCGGAGAAAGCUAUUAAGCAGGGGUAAGCUCCAAACUGACGACUAAGUAUCUAAAACUACAACUUCAUCUUGCUAUCUGAUUCGAUGUACAGACACGGUCUUCCAACAGCGCAGUAAUCGGCGCUGUGCAGUAGAUCGAAACCAUUGCAACAUUCUCGACACACCGGAUGCAUUCUGCGAGGCUCGGAAUUGAAACACCGACAAGAUGACCAAUGAAUUGACACUACAAGUCCCCAGCAAACCGAAGUUGUCCCGCCUCGCAGCUCGUUUGCCACUUUCCUGCAAUCGCCUCGUUGGAUCCCUUGUCGUGCUUUCGCAAGCUUGGGUCGUUGGUAAGGAGGAUGGUUUUACAUUCCUUGGGAGGCGAUCUGAGCAAGUGUAUGAAGACUAGGAUCUAAAUGAAGAAGGUACACAUCGUGGAGGAAUGCAACAAUAUUUGGGUGUCGUUGGAUUUGUUUCCAAGCAGAAUUUGUUCUCGAAUUCAAAGAACGACAGACACAUACACUUUGACCCUUAUCUAGCUUUGAUAGUGGGGUCGAGACUCUGAAUUUAGUCGAAAGGCGACUCGACUUGUGCCUCUCUCCAUGGAGCACCGGGAAAGUGUUC
rnacentral:lncRNA from 1 species